rnacentral:rRNA from 1 species
GGACUACCGGGGUAUCUAAUCCUGUUUGCUCCCCACGCUUUCGCGUCUCAGCGUCAGCAACGAUCCAGAGGGCCGCCUUCGCCGCCGGUGUUCCUCCUGAUAUCUACGCAUUUCACCGCUACACCAGGAAUUCCACCCUCCUCUAUCGCGCUCCAGUCGGCUAGUUUCCGAUGCACUUCCGAGGCUAAGCCUCGGGAUUUCACACCGGACUGGGCCAACCGCCUACACGCCCUUUACGCCCAGUCAAUCCGAACAACGCUAGCACCCUCCGUCUUACCGCGGCUGCUGGCAC